AGCGAACGCUGGCGGCAGGCCUAACACAUGCAAGUCGAACGAAGUCUUCGGACUUAGUGGCGGACGGGUGAGUAACACGUGGGAACGUGCCUUUAGGUUCGGAAUAACUCAGGGAAACUUGUGCUAAUACCGAAUGUGCCCUUCGGGGGAAAGAUUUAUCGCCUUUAGAGCGGCCCGCGUCUGAUUAGCUAGUUGGUGAGGUAAAGGCUCACCAAGGCGACGAUCAGUAGCUGGUCUGAGAGGAUGAUCAGCCACAUUGGGACUGAGACACGGCCCAAACUCCUACGGGAGGCAGCAGUGGGGAAUCUUGCGCAAUGGGCGAAAGCCUGACGCAGCCAUGCCGCGUGAAUGAUGAAGGUCUUAGGAUUGUAAAAUUCUUUCACCGGGGACGAUAAUGACGGUACCCGGAGAAGAAGCCCCGGCUAACUUCGUGCCAGCAGCCGCCGCAG
rnacentral:rRNA from 1 species